GUGAAUCAUCAAAUCUUUGAACGCAUAUUGCACUCUCUGGUAUUCCGGAGAGUAUGCCUGUUUGAGGGUCAGUUAAAUAAAAAUCGGGGUGUUUUCAACCUUUGGCGGUUACGCUUCGGAAUUGGGUCGUCUGUACCUUUCGGUUAAGGGACUUAAAAUUUUUGAAUGAUAUCUGAACGUAUUUAAAUUUAUUUGGUACGGCGUGAAAUAUCGAAUGUUGAUUAGAAGUGGUAAUCAUCAUGACGAGCGUCUAUAAUUUUUCAUCUAAUGACUUCAAAUCA
rnacentral:misc_RNA from 1 species